UACAGAGGGGGCAAGCGUUAUUCGGAAUUAUUGGGCGUAAAGGGCGCGUAGGCGGCUUUUCAAGUGGCGGUUGAAAUCCCUCGGCUUAACCGAGGAACUGCCUGCCAGACUGGAUGGCUUGAGACCGGGAGAGGUGAGUGGAAUUCCCAGUGUAGCGGUGAAAUGCGUAGAUAUUGGGAGGAACACCAGUGGCGAAGGCGGCUCACUGGACCGGUACUGACGCUGAGGCGCGAAAGCGUGGGGAGCAAACAGG
rnacentral:rRNA from 1 species